UAAUACAGAGGGGGCAAGCGUUGUUCGGAAUUACUGGGCGUAAAGGGCGCGUAGGCGGCCUGCUAAGUCGAACGUGAAAUCCCUGGGCUCAACCCAGGAACUGCGUCCGAUACUGGUUGGCUUGAAUCCGGGAGAGGGAUGUGGAAUUCCAGGUGUAGCGGUGAAAUGCGUAGAUAUCUGGAGGAACACCGGUGGCGAAGGCGACAUCCUGGACCGGUAUUGACGCUGAGGCGCGAAAGCCAGGGGAGCAAACGGGAUUAGAUACCC
rnacentral:rRNA from 1 species